UACCAGCUCUUCGAGUGGUGUGGAUGUUUAUUGGGCCUAAAGCAUCCGUAGCUGGCUGGGCAAGUCCCCUGUUAAAUCCACCGAUUUAAUCGUUGGAGUGCGGGAGAUACUGUUCGGCUAGGGGACGGGAGAGGCAGACGGUAUUUUCGGGGUAGGGGUGAAAUCCUAUAAUCCCGGGAAGACCACCAGUGGCGAAGGCUGUCUGCUAGAACGCGCCCGACGGUGAGGGAUGAAAGCUGGGGGAGCGAACCGGAUUAGAUACCCGGGUAGUCCCAGCUGUAAACGAUGCAGGCUAGGUGUUUGGGCGGCCACGUGCCGCUCUAGUGCCGCAGGGAAGCCGUUAAGCCUGCCGCCUGGGGAGUACGGCCGCAAGGCUGAAACUUAAGGAAUUGGCGGGGGAGCACCACAAGGGGUGAAGCUUGCGGUUU
rnacentral:rRNA from 1 species